GUGCUCGCUUUGGCAGCACAUAUACUAAAAUUGGAACGAUACAGAGAAGAUUAGCAUGGCCCCUGUGCAAGGAUGACAUGCAAAUACGCGAAGCAUUCCAUAUUUUU
rnacentral:snRNA from 1 species